GAGGUAGUAAGGGGCGUGAAAAUCUGGCGGUGGUUUGUAGCUUCCGGAAGAUGGCAGUGGCCAUAAGAUCCGUAAAACGCAUUGGGGAGGAACUGGCGCCGUGGGCUAUACAUGGCAAAAUGUGGUCACUCACUCACUCGCUGACGGACAACCUUUGAGGGACGUUUUGCUGGACGCAUUCGCCGGUGGUGCCAGCUAAAAUGUGUCUGUGGAAUGCUGGGAGAGGUGAAGUGGGAAUGCCUUCCCAAAGCCCGGGAGAUUUCAGGACCCUGGACAGCACACUGCAGCCCAUCCUUACGGUCUUCCUCUGGUUGCCUCGGGGAAAGUCUCGCCUUUUCCUCAUGAUGAGAUUUUUUGAUGAUAAUAUUUUUUGCUGCUUAGUUCUCACUAAAUUAAUUUAUUUUUAAUGAAUUACAUUUACAACUAUUGCCCAAUAUCAAUGUAGAAUUCAGCACAGCUCAAAUAUACAUAUUCUGUGUAUCACGUUUGUCAGAGCCAUCUGUUUGUGUUUCUAGUUAUACUAGUGUUUUUAUGCAUUUUAUGUACC